AUUGAACGCUGGCGGCAUGCCUUACACAUGCAAGUCGAACGGUAACGGGCCUUCGGGUGCCGACGAGUGGCGAACGGGUGAGUAAUACAUCGGAACGUGCCCGAUCGUGGGGGAUAACGAGGCGAAAGCUUUGCUAAUACCGCAUACGAUCUACGGAUGAAAGCAGGGGACCGCAAGGCCUUGCGCGGACGGAGCGGCCGAUGGCAGAUUAGGGAGUUGGUGGGAUAAAAGCUUACCAAGCCGACGAUCUGUAGCUGGUCUGAGAGGAUGAUCAGCCACACUGGGACUGAGAGACGGCCCAGACUCCUACGGGAGGCAGCAGUGGGGAAUUUUGGACAAUGGGCGCAAGCCUGAUCCAGCCAUGCCGCGUGCAGGAUGAAGGCCUUCGGGUUGUAAACUGCUUUUGUACGGAACGAAAAGCCUUCUUUUAAUACAGGAGGGUCAUGACGGUACCGUAAGAAUAAGCACCGGCUAACUACGU
rnacentral:rRNA from 1 species